GAUGAACGCUGGCGGCGUGCCUAAUACAUGCAAGUCGAGCGAACAGAUAAGGAGCUUGCUCCUCUGACGUUAGCGGCGGACGGGUGAGUAACACGUGGAUAACCUACCUAUAAGACUGGGAUAACUUCGGGAAACCGGAGCUAAUACCGGAUAAUAUAUUGAACCGCAUGGUUCAAUAGUGAAAGACGGUUUUGCUGUCACUUACAGAUGGAUCCGCGCCGCAUUAGCUAGUUGGUAAGGUAACGGCUUACCAAGGCAACGAUGCGUAGCCGACCUGAGAGGGUGAUCGGCCACACUGGAACUGAGACACGGUCCAGACUCCUACGGGAGGCAGCAGUAGGGAAUCUUCCGCAAUGGGCGAAAGCCUGACGGAGCAACGCCGCGUGAGUGAUGAAGGUCUUCGGAUCGUAAAACUCUGUUAUUAGGGAAGAACAAAUGUGUAAGUAACUAUGCACGUCUUGACGGUACCUAAUCAGAAAGCCACGGCUAACUACGUG
rnacentral:rRNA from 1 species